GAUGAACGCUGGCGGCGUGCUUAACACAUGCAAGUCGAACGAUGAAGCCCAGCUUGCUGGGUGGAUUAGUGGCGAACGGGUGAGUAACACGUGAGUAACCUGCCCUUAACUCUGGGAUAAGCCUGGGAAACUGGGUCUAAUACCGGAUAGGAGCGUCCACCGCAUGGUGGGUGUUGGAAAGAUUUAUCGGUUUUGGAUGGACUCGCGGCCUAUCAGCUUGUUGGUGAGGUAAUGGCUCACCAAGGCGACGACGGGUAGCCGGCCUGAGAGGGUGACCGGCCACACUGGGGCUGAGACACGGCCCAGACUCCUACGGGAGGCAGCAGUGGGGAAUAUUGCACAAUGGGCGCAAGCCUGAUGCAGCGACGCCGCGUGAGGGAUGACGGCCUUCGGGUUGUAAACCUCUUUCAGUAGGGAAGAAGCGAAAGUGACGGUACCUGCAGAAGAAGCACCGGCUAACUACGUG
rnacentral:rRNA from 1 species